rnacentral:rRNA from 1 species
GACAGAGGAUGCAAGCGUUAUCCGGAAUGAUUGGGCGUAAAGCGUCUGUAGGUGGCUUUUUAAGUCCGCCGUCAAAUCCCAGGGCUCAACCCUGGACAGGCGGUGGAAACUACCAAGCUGGAGUACGGUAGGGGCAGAGGGAAUUCCCGGUGUAGCGGUGAAAUGCGCAGAUAUCGGGAGGAACACCGGUGGCGAAGGCGGUUCUCUGGGCCUGUACUGACGCUGAGGAGCGAAAGCGUGGGGAGCGAACAGG